rnacentral:piRNA from 1 species
ACAAGACAGUGACUGUGGAAUUCAAGCA